CCAGACUCCUACGGGAGGCAGCAGUGAGGAAUAUUGGUCAAUGGGCGGGAGCCUGAACCAGCCAAGUCGCGUGAGGGAAGACGGUCCUAUGGAUUGUAAACCUCUUUAGGCGGGGAGCAAUGCCGGGCACGUGUGCCCGGAGGGAGAGUACCCGCAGAAUAAGCAUCGGCUAACUCCGUGCCAGCAGCCGCGGUAAUACGGAGGAUGCGAGCGUUAUCCGGAUUUAUUGGGUUUAAAGGGUGCGCAGGCGGGAGAUCAAGUCAGCGGUAAAAUGUCGGGGCUCAACCCCGGCCGGCCGUUGAAACUGGUUUUCUAGAGUUGGAGAGAAGUAUGCGGAAUUCGUGGUGUAGCGGUGAAAUGCAUAGAUAUCACGAAGAACUCCGAUUGCGAAGGCAGCAUACCGGCUCCAUACUGACGCUGAGGCACGAAAGCGUGGGGAUCGAACAGGAUUAGAUACCCUCGUAA
rnacentral:rRNA from 1 species